rnacentral:rRNA from 1 species
GACGAACGCUGGCGGCGUGCUUAACACAUGCAAGUCGAACGGAAAGGCCCUGCUUUUGUGGGGUGCUCGAGUGGCGAACGGGUGAGUAACACGUGAGUAACCUGCCCUUGACUUUGGGAUAACUUCAGGAAACUGGGGCUAAUACCGGAUAGGAGCUCCUGCUGCAUGGUGGGGGUUGGAUAGUUUCGGCGGGUGGGGAUGGACUCGCGGCUUAUCAGCUUGUUGGUGGGGUAGUGGCUUACCAAGGCUUUGACGGGUAGCCGGCCUGAGAGGGUGACCGGCCACAUUGGGACUGAGAGACGGCCCAGACUCCUACGGGAGGCAGCAGUGGGGAGUAUUGCACAAUGGGCGGAAGCCUGAUGCAGCAACGCCGCGUGCGGGAUGACGGCCUUCGGGUUGUAAACCGCUUUCGCCUGUGACGAAGCGUGAGUGACGGUAAUGGGUAAAGAAGCACCGGCUAACUACGUG